GAGUUUGAACCUGGCUCAGGAUGAACGCUGGCGGCGUGCUUAACACAUGCAAGUCGAACGGGGAUGCCAUUUUUGAAGCGAUUAGCUUGCUGAGAGUGGAAAUGUUGGCAUCUUAGUGGCGGACGGGUGAGUAACGCGUGGGGAACCUGCCCUGUACAGGGGGAUAACACUUAGAAAUAGGUGCUAAUACCGCAUAAGCGCACAGUAUCGCAUGAUACAGUGUGAAAAACUCCGGUGGUACAGGAUGGACCCGCGUCUGAUUAGCUGGUUGGCGGGGUAACGGCCCACCAAGGCGACGAUCAGUAGCCGGCCUGAGGGGGUGAACGGCCACAUUGGGACUGAGACACGGCCCAGACUCCUACGGGAGGCAGCAGUGGGGAAUAUUGCACAAUGGGGGAAACCCUGAUGCAGCGACGCCGCGUGAGUGAAGAAGUAUCUCGGUACGUAAAGCUCUAUCAGCAGGGAAGAAAAAAAGCCUUUGGCUUUGGACGGUACCUGACUAAGAAGCCCCGGCUAACUACGUGC
rnacentral:rRNA from 1 species